rnacentral:rRNA from 1 species
UACGUAGGGUGCGAGCGUUAAUCGGAAUUACUGGGCGUAAAGCGUGCGUAGUCGGUUAUUUAAGUCGGGCGUGAAAGCCCCGGGCUCAACCUGGGAAUUGCGUUCGAUACUGGAUAGCUAGAGUUCGGCAGAGGGAAGCGGAAUUUCUGGUGUAGCGGUGAAAUGCGUAGAUAUCAGAAGGAACAUCAGUGGCGAAAGCGACUGCCUGGACCAAUACUGACGCUCAUGUGCGAAAGCGUGGGGAGCAAACAGG